rnacentral:misc_RNA from 1 species
AAAGUCGUAACAAGGUUUCCGUAGGUGAACCUGCGGAAGGAUCAUUAACACGUAUCCACGUACCUAUUAUACCAUUACACCUAAACUGGAGAACCACUCGAAUACGUUGGCAAGGGCGAUUCAAUUCACCCAGUGGAAGGUUGUGCAGCAAUGCUCAGGCUUCGGCUCCCAGCUAUUCUUUUUUCCCCUUUUUAACCCCUAUGACUAACUUAUAAACCCCUAAGUUGACUGAUGAAAGAUCUGGCCUAGUUCGAAAGGACCUGCGCUCUGAUCGAUCAUUGAUCUCUGAUCAAUGUUAUUGAAAUCUAAGAACACAACUCUUAGCAAUGGAUAUCUUGGUUCUC